UUUCUUAAUCUCGAAAUUUGAAUGGUCAGAACUGAUGUUCUCAAGGAAAGAAACUCAUCCACAACGAAGAAAAUUCUCAAGGGUGCUUCUCGGAUACAAGAUGGCAUCAUCCUCUACGGCCUCGAGAGACAUAUUGAUGGGCAUGUUCAUCGCAGCGACAUUGCUCAUGUCCUCGCCUGAAGUGGUGUCUGCAUCACCAGAAGCAGAAACUAAGCUUGGACGGAAAUCUCGCACGGUAUAUUCCCUAGACUGCCAUUUUGGAUCAGAAGGAGGAAGCGGCUAUGUUCCGCCAUCACAUUAGCCUCCUGUUAUCUUCCUGUCCUUAAUCUGGUUUUGGUUAUAUAUUAGUAAGCAAAUGAAAGCUGAAAGAUGGUAGCCUAGCCACCACUGUCAGCAACUUGAUGAAUGUGCUCCAAAGGGGAUUGUUUCAAUGUCCUCUGAGAAUAUGUAAACGUCUGGACUGGGUUGCCAAUAAGUCUGUUUGGCUUUUUUGAGGUAUUUCUAAGUGUAAUAGCUUAUAGUUUGCACUGGAACUCAUUGCCGAACUUCAUUGCCGUCACUCGGGAAAUUUACGACCACAGGAAUGUACAUGCCGUUGAAGCGUUUUACUCGCUA